CUGCAUUGUGAUGGAGCAAUAGCUUCCCCAAGAGAUCUCUGUUGGUGUUGGUGGAGGUUAGGGCAUCCAAAACACUCUGACU